UUACAAAAAACCCACAGCUCUUCCCUCUGUCCUGACCUUGCUCUGUGCCUUGCAGUGGUGGCUUCCAAAAGGAUUGGGGAAUCUUUAUGGGGAGUGAAUCCCCUUCUAGUGCUCAUAUGAACUGUGAGUGGAAUUCUGCUGAGCUGUUGGGAAGAGAGGGGGUAAAGGAACAAGCUCUGGAGAAACACAGAGGCUGCUCCUGCUCUUCCAUCCAGCCAAAAUAAACACUGUGAAGUUGCCACAGGGUUUAUUUGUUUCUUCGAGGAUGCAUGGCGUGGGAGGUGGUGUAACAGGUCAGGAAUGAGCUUUGGUGUGAUUUCCUUUAGCACCUGGGAUGGGGAAUUUCACAUGAGAAUGCCAUCAGAUCCCUGGAUUUGGCUUCCAGAGCAAUCCAAGUUUGAUUUAUCCACACAAAUAAUGGAGGAAAAAAUACCCACGGUCCCUGCUGGUGAUUUGUUCCCAUUACUGCCUUCCCACGCUGUUGGAAGACGUGGAGCUUGUUCCAAGCUGGAAUUUGACUGACAUCCCACUCCAAACACUGGAGCUCACUGGGUGAUUUUAUCUCCUCCCCAGAGCAGAGAUUGCCUUGCUGAGGGUGAGUAACCAGUGGUGCCCAUUGCAGGAGUGACUGUGCUUUCAGAAAUCAAAGUUCACCCACUGGGCCUGUUCUGACUUGGGAGACAGGAGCCAUGGGAACCAUUGUUAGCAUUUCACAGGAGAGUGGGUUGAUAUUUUUUAAUCAACAUUUGCAUUCUUAAACUUCGCUUCUAUUUUAUUUUUAUCCACCUCCUUUCUCCUUGUACGUUUUCCAGCGCAUAAAAAAGAAAGAAAGGAAGAGAACUUUUUAAUUAAACUUUUGAAGAAAACUACAGCACAAAGCUGCUCUUUAUAUUGCAGGAGAUAAAUCACUGCAAACAUUUGGAAAAGCCCAGACUUUGGUGCAUUGUACCAGUGAAAUCACACAUCAGGAAUGAUCUGGGCUCCAAGUUUGGCUCCUGGUUGAAGGGGCCACUAAAUGAACUUGGUUGUCACUGCUUAUCAGGCUAAGGGGCCAAGCCAAUGUGGUGCUGGACACAUCUUGGCCAAGCUGGAUGGGGCUUGGAACAACUUGGUCUGGUGGAAGGUGUCCCUGCCCAUGGCAGGGGGUGGAACUGGAUGAGAUUCAAAGAUUCCCUUGAUUGUAAGGCACCUUUAAAUAAGCAAAAUGCUAAAGCUGAAAAAACAGCAAGAAAUGAAUAAUGCAAUGAGCUGAGCUGAGCCUUAGGUGAGUAAAACGUGCCUGGUUCUGAGGUGCUUGCCCCAGGUGCUUCCUGUGGCCAGCUGGGAUAAAUCCAUUUGUGCUCCUUUAGGCAAAGAUGUCCCUCCAUUAACUGGGAAAGAACUCAAGGGAAUGCUCAGAAAUGUGUCUCCAUUUUGGAGAUUUUCUUCUGCUAAGGUGACUCUUGUUUUCCCUUGAGUCCAACCAUGAACCCAGCGCUGCUGUGUUCGCCACCGAGCCGCGUCCCCUUUGUGACACCUUCUGGACACUUCCAGGGAUUCCAGUGUGGAUUUCACCACUUCCCUGGGCAGCUGAUCCAAUGCCUGACCUGUCCCACUACAGUGUCACAGUGGAGCUUCUGUCUCUGCUCUGCUGUCAGUGAUGGACCAACUCAAUCCACACAAAUCAAUGAUGCAGGGUUAUAACAGCCUUAAAGAAGGAUUUUUUUUCCAGGGGAAAACAAACAAGGGGAAAAAAAGCCUUUCACUCUAGAUAAGGCUUCCUCAGCCCCUCCUGAGCUGGCUCAUUUAACACAAUGAACUGUCAAAAUAUCCCCCCUCUGGUUCCAAUAAGCUCUGGUCCUGCUUCCAUGGACUUUGGAGCAGCAUUUUGGUCUCCAGACACAAUUCCCUGAGCAGUUUGGCAGAAGUCAGUCCAGCUCAUGGGCAAGAGAGGGAGGGAUGUUCCCCUUCCACACUCUGGCUGGGAAUAUCCCUGGAUUUAAUGGCUCAUAUCCUGGCCUUGUCCCCCUUGUGCA